UGGGGAAUAUUGCACAAUGGGCGAAAGCCUGAUGCAGCAACGCCGCGUGAGUGAUGAAGGCCUUCGGGUUGUAAAGCUCUGUCUUUUGGGACGAUAAUGACGGUACCAAAGGAGGAAGCCACGGCUAACUACGUGCCAACAGCCGCGGUAAUACGUAGGUGGCAAGCGUUGUCCGGAUUUACUGGGCGUAAAGGAUGCGUAGGCGGAUUUUUAAGUGAGAUGUGAAAACCCUAAGCUUAACUUGGGGACUGCAUUUCAUACUGGAAAUCUAGAGUGCGGGAGAGGAGAAUGGAAUUCCUAGUGUAGCGGUGAAAUGCGUAGAGAUUAGGAAGAACACCAGUGGCGAAGGCGAUUCUCUGGACCGUAACUGACGCUGAGGCAUGAAAGCGUGGGUAGCAAACAGGAUUAGAUACCCUGGUAGUCCACGCCGUAAACGAUGAGUACUAGGUGUAGGAGGUAUCGACCCCUUCUGUGCCGCAGUUAACACAAUAAGUACUCCGCCUGGGAAGUACGAUCGCAAGAUUAAAACUCAAAGGAAUUGACGGGGUCAUAGCUG
rnacentral:rRNA from 1 species